GGGAUCUUAAUUUAAAGUAUAAAAUAUAUGGUUUGCAUUCAUAAAAUUUAGAUUCUAU
rnacentral:tRNA from 1 species